AUUGAACGCUGGCGGCAGGCCUAACACAUGCAAGUCGAGCGGAUGAAGGGUGCUUGCUCCUGGAUUCAGCGGCGGACGGGUGAGUAAUGCCUAGGAAUCUGCCUGGCUGUGGUUUAUAACGUCCGGAAACGGGCGCUAAUACCGCAUACGUCCUGAUGGAGAACGUGGGGGAUCUUCGGACCUCACGCUAUCAGAUGAGCCUAGGUCGGAUUAGCUAGUUGGUGGGGUAAAGGCCUACCAAGGCGACGAUCCGUAACUGGUCUGAGAGGAUGAUCAGUCACACUGGAACUGAGACACGGUCCAGACUCCUACGGGAGGCAGCAGUGGGGAAUAUUGGACAAUGGGCGAAAGCCUGAUCCAGCCAUGCCGCGUGUGUGAAGAAGGUCUUCGGAUUGUAAAGCACUUUAAGUUGGGAGGAAGGGCAGUAAGUUAAUACCUUGCUGUUUUGACGGUACCAAAAGAAUAAGCACCGGCUAACUUCGUG
rnacentral:rRNA from 1 species